rnacentral:rRNA from 1 species
CUUGUAGGAAACACGACCGGCGCACGGGUGAGUAACGCGUAUGCAACCUGCCUCUAACUGGGGCAUAGCCCGAAGAAAUUCGGAUUAAUUUCCCAUAUUAUUCAAUGAUCGCAUGAUGAUUGAAUGAAAGCUCCGGCGGUUAGAGAUGGGCAUGCGGGUCAUUAGCUUGUUGGUGAGGUAACGGCUCACCAAGGCUGCGAUGACUAGGGGGCCUGAGAGGGUGAUCCCCCACACUGGUACUGAGACACGGACCAGACUUCUACGGAAGGCAGCAAUGAGGAAUAUUGGGCAAUGGAGGCAACUCUGACCCAGCCAUGCCGCGUGCAGGAUGACGGCCCUAUGGGUUGUAAACUGCUUUUCUGAGAGAAGAAUCCCCCCGAGUUUUCGGGGGUUGCCGGUAUCUCAGGAAUAAGCAUCGGCUAACUCCGUGCCAGCAGCCGCGGUAAUACGGAGGAUGCAAGCGUUAUCCGGAUUCAUUGGGUUUAAAGGGUGCGUAGGCGGGAAAGUAAGUCAGUGGUGAAAGCCUGCAGCUCAACUGUGGAACUGCCAUUGAUACUGCUUUUCUUGAGUUUGGUUGAGGUAGGCGGAAUGUGUAAUGUAGCGGUGAAAUGCUUAGAUAUUACACAGAACACCGAUUGCGAAGGCAGCUUACUAAACCGAUACUGACGCUGAUGCACGAAAGCGUGGGGAGCGAACAGGAUUAGAUACCCUGGUAGUCCACGCUGUAAACUAUGAUCACUCGCUGUUGGCAAUACAUCGUCAGCGGCUGAGCGAAAGCAUUAAGUGAUCCACCUGGGGAGUACGGUCGCAAGAUUGAAACUCAAAGGAAUUGACGGGGGCCCGCACAAGCGGUGGAACAUGUGGUUUAAUUCGAUGAUACGCGAGGAACCUUACCUGGGCUUAAAUGUAGACUGCAUUUCCGGGAAACCGGAUUUCCUUCGGGACCGUCUACAAGGUGCUGCAUGGUUGUCGUCAGCU